GUGCCAGCAGCCGCGGUAAUACGUAGGGGGCAAGCGUUGUCCGGAAUCAUUGGGCGUAAAGCGCGCGCAGGCGGUCUCUUAAGUCUGAUGUGAAAGACCACGGCUCAACCGUGGAGUGCCAUUGGAAACUGGGAGACUUGAGUGCAGUAGAGGAGAGUGGAAUUCCUGGUGUAGCGGUGAAAUGCGUAGAGAUCAGGAGGAACACCAAUGGCGAAGGCAGCUCUCUGGACUGUAACUGACGCUGAGGCGCGAAAGCGUGGGUAGCAAACAGGAUUAGAUACCCUGGUAGUCCACGCCGUAAACGAUGAGUGCUAGGUGUUAGGGGGUCCAACCCUUAGUGCCGAAGUUAACACAUUAAGCACUCCGCCUGGGGAGUACGGUCGCAAGACUGAA
rnacentral:rRNA from 1 species